ACCGACAUGAUUAUGCAACCAUUUAGUCAGCUAACCUUUCUCCUGAUUAUUGCAGUUUCAAUCAAGAACAUCCAUAGUGAAUCGUGUGAAGAUAAGAUAUCUGACUGUGCUGAAUACACAAAGGAAUCAUGUAAACCUCCUUAUCUCACCUGGGCUCAACAGAACUGUCCUGCAUAUUGUGGAUUCUGUAGAAGGCAGUGCGUGGACAAUAGAAGCGAUUGCCAUGAAUUCGGGAUUUCAGCAUGUUUACCAUUGUAUAAGACUUGGGCCAAGCAAAACUGCGCUGCUUAUUGUGGAUAUUGCG